CCUACGGGUGGCAGCAGUGAGGAAUAUUGGUCAAUGGGCGUAAGCCUGAACCAGCCAAGUCGCGUGAGGGAUGAAGGUUCUAUGGAUCGUAAACCUCUUUUAUAAGGGAAUAAAGUGUGGGACGUGUCCUGUUUUGUAUGUACCUUAUGAAUAAGGAUCGGCUAACUCCGUGCCAGCAGCCGCGGUAAUACGGAGGAUCCGAGCGUUAUCAGGAUUUAUUGGGUUUAAAGGGUGCGUAGGCGGCCUUUUAAGUCAGCGGUGAAAGUCUGUGGCUCAACCAUAGAAUUGCCGUUGAAACUGGGAGGCUUGAGGAUGUUUGAGGCAGGCGGAAUGCGUGGUGUAGCGGUGAAAUGCUUAGAUAUUACGCAGAACCCCGAUUGCGAAGGCAGCCUGCCAAGCCAUGACUGACGCUGAUGCACGAAAGCGUGGGGAUCAAACAGGAUUAGAUACCCCAGUAGUC
rnacentral:rRNA from 1 species